GGGGGGGGGGGGGGGGGGGGGGGGGGGGGGCGGGGGGAGGGGGAGGGGGCAGGGUGGGUUGGGGACUCGGGUGGGGAGCGGGGGGGGAACAGGUGGGGGAUCUGCCCGGCACUUCGGGAUAAGCCGGGGAAACGGGGUCUAAGACCGGAUAGGCCCACUGCGUGGGUGUGGUGUUGGAAAGUUUUUUCGGGGUGGGAUGAGCUCGCGGCCUAGCAGCUUGUUGGUGGGGUGAUGGCAUACCAAGGCGUCGACGGGUAGCCGGCCUGAGAGGGUGUACGGCCACAUUGGGACUGAGAUACGGCCCAGACUCCUACGGGAGGCAGCAGUGGGGAAUAUUGCACAAUGGGCGCAAGCCUGAUGCAGCGACGCCGCGUGGGGGAUGACGGCCUUCGGGUUGUAAACUCCUUUCGCUAGGGACGAAGCGUUUUGUGACGGUACCUGGAGAAGAAGCACCGGCUAACUACGUG
rnacentral:rRNA from 1 species